rnacentral:misc_RNA from 1 species
AACGCACAUUGCGCCCCUUGGUAUUCCGAGGGGCAUGCCUGUUCGAGCGUCAUUACAACCCUCAAGCAUUGCUUGGUAUUGGGCUCCGCUGCGUACCCAGCGGGCCUUGAAAUCAGUGGCGGUGCCGUCGAGGCCCUGAGCGUAGUAAAUAUCCUCUCGCUAUAGGGACUCGGUGGACGCUAGCCAUCAACCCCCAACUUUCUAAGUUUGACCUCGGAUCAGGUAGGGAUACCCGCUGAACUUAA